GCCACGCUAUUUGAUGGGCUAGAAGUUGGUUGGAUGACGUAGAAGAUUGUGGUUGGUCCAGAAAAAUUAUGGAAGCAGUUUUUGUGGGAAUAGGUUUCAUGGGAUUCUAGUUCUUCAGAGAAAAUAUGGACAAAUUUUACGAAGCAAUCUUUUUGUACUUCUCAAAGGGAACUUAAGACAGCUGGAAUAGGUUUCAUGGGAUUCUAGUUCUUCGGAGAAAAUAUGGACAAAUUUUAUGAAGCAAUCUUUUUGUACUUCUCAAAGGGAACUUAAGACAGCUGGACUCCCACCUCUUUUAGGUUUCCAAAGGAUAUGUGGAAUAAAAGCAAAACCAUCUAUUGAUAAACAGAGAUCCUGCA